AGAGUUUGAUUCUGGCUCAGGAUGAACGCUAGCUACAGGCUUAACACAUGCAAGUCGAGGGGCAGCAUGGGAUUAGCUUGCUAAUCCUGAUGGCGACCGGCGCACGGGUGAGUAACGCGUAUCCAACCUUCCCCCUACUCAGGCAUAGCCCGGUGAAAACCGGAUUAACUCCUGAUAGUUUCACUAGAUGGCAUCUGACGGUGAAUAAAGCUCUGCGGUAAGGGAUGGGGAUGCGUCUGAUUAGCUUGUUGGCGGGGUAACGGCCCACCAAGGCAACGAUCAGUAGGGGUUCUGAGAGGAAGGUCCCCCACAUUGGAACUGAGACACGGUCCAAACUCCUACGGGAGGCAGCAGUGAGGAAUAUUGGUCAAUGGGCGCGAGCCUGAACCAGCCAAGUAAGCGUGCAGGAAGACGGCCCUAUGGGUUGUAAACUGCUUUUGUGCGGGAAUAAAGUGGCCCACGUGUGGGUUUUUGCAUGUACCGCAAGAAUAAGGACCGGCUAAUUCCGUGCCAGCCGCGGC
rnacentral:rRNA from 1 species